GGUUUGUGGCUCAGUGGUAGAACGCUCACCUAGCAUGUGCAAGGCCCUGGGUUCAAUCCUCAACACCA
rnacentral:tRNA from 1 species